UAUGGGAGAAACCUCAGAUCUUGAUAGGCUCAGUGAGAUAUGAGAGUAUGUUUUGAAGAUUGUGGUCUUGAAAUAACCAGCUUAUACAUCUUGCAAGACCACCUAUCCAAUCUGUAUCUUGCCUGUUUGCCUAGGAGAAAGUUGUGGGAAUCACUUUGCUGAAGUCCAGAUCCUGUGAAAAAUCAAGAAGUCUUUCCAGACAACCUAUUAUUCUUAAAGUUUACAUAUACGACAGAACAGGACAUGGGAGGACUGCAAUGAACAACGGCAGAGUAAAGAAAUAAGCCCAUGGAUAUAACCCAUCUGUAGGUUUUAGCAAUCCAGAAGAGUCACCUGUAAGCAGUACCUGUGUGAUGGCUGGCAUGGCUGCAGUGAGAAUACAGCAUCUUCCUAAGGAAGACACCCUAUACUAGCAUUUAAAAACAUGGAAAACCCUCCAGUUCAGGGCAUCACAGACAACCCUUUGCAACCAGUGCAAGUUGAGAAGAGAAGAACCCCUAAUGCAAAUCAUCUAAACCUCAUUAAUCCCUAAGACCACUUAUUUGUUGGAAGCAGUUCUGUCUGAAAAUUGAAAUGCUUGGAAUUAGAUUGGAUUGGUGACCAAAAAAAAAAAAAAAAA